rnacentral:rRNA from 1 species
UAGCUUUUUCCGCCUAUAUACCACCGUCGCCAGCUUACCCUGUGAAGGACUAAUAGUAAGCACAAUCGGCACAGCCCAGAACGUCAGGUCGAGGUGUAGUGAAUGGGAGGGGAAGAAAUGGGCUACAUUCGCUGCCCACAGCGAACACGAAUGCUACACUGAAACAUGUAGCUGAAGGAGGAUUUAGCAGUAAGCAGAAAGCAGAGUGUUCCGCUGAAGCCGGCUCUUAAGCGCGCACACACCGCCCGUCACCCUCCCCAAGCAACUGGACCUAAAAUUUCUUUAAACCCUAACAACCGCGAAGGAGAGGAAAGUCGUAACAUGGUAAGCGUACCGGAAGGUGCGCUUGGUUAAAC